rnacentral:misc_RNA from 1 species
AAACUAUCAAGCAUAUAAAUUACAAGCACAAGGCAACAAAAACCAUUCUCUUUAGUGCUGCAUUAUCAUGCUUCAGCAACAACUUGCAUGGUUAAUUACAUUCUAAUUAUAGAGAUAAAACUCCAAUUAACAUUAUAUACUAUUUAUUUCCUCCACUAAACUUCUUAAGUCUAAAGCUCUAAUCAAGAAACUAAUUAAUUAAUAUAUAUUAAUAUUACACUAAAAAAAAAUAGACCUCAUAUCAUAAUUAAUCAUAAGAAACAAGACAAACAUUUUGUCUUUGAAUUAAUCUAGGAUUAUCAAAAUGACGACACCGAGCAUUCAAGUACAUCUUAUCUCAUCUCAUCAUCUUCCAGAGAUGCAAAACCUUAAGAGUUUGACUAAGAGUUAACCUGACAUAUAGCUAAGACUCCAGAUUAAAAGAGAUAAUUAAUAAUAAUUGAUCAGCUAAUUAUUAUAAUUAUGCUGCUGGGGCACAGUCAUUAUCGUCGUCGUCGUCAUCACCAUCACCCUCCAUGGAUGCAGCAGGUGCAUAGUCAUAAUCCCCAUCGUCAUCGUCACCAUCACCUUCAAUGCAUGGUGUUAGCUCAUAAUAAUUACCAAAUUCAGCCUCAUCAUCAACGUGGAAAUUGCACAAUGUGGAAAUGGCUUUGGAGAUUAGAGACAUUGUAAAAAGUAUUUAAUUUGAUUCAAAGGGAAAGGAAAAAUGAGCAAGAAAAUGGGAUAUUAUAAUAGAAGGAAAGGAAUGGAAUUAAUCUAUGGCUCUCUAUGGCUA